CCCUCAAGAUGAGAUUUCCCAUAGCGUUAAGCUAGUAAGAUCCCUGAAAGAUGAUCAGGUUGAUAGGUUCGAGGUGGAAGCGUGGUGACACGUGGAGCUGACGAAUACUAAUAGAUCGAGGACUUAACCAU
rnacentral:rRNA from 1 species